rnacentral:rRNA from 1 species
GUGAACGCUGGCGGUAGGCCUAACACAUGCAAGUCGAACGGCAGCACAGUAAGAGCUUGCUCUUACGGGUGGCGAGUGGCGGACGGGUGAGGAAUACAUCGGAAUCUACUUUUUCGUGGGGGAUAACGUAGGGAAACUUACGCUAAUACCGCAUACGACCUACGGGUGAAAGCAGGGGAUCUUCGGACCUUGCGCGAUUGAAUGAGCCGAUGUCGGAUUAGCUAGUUGGCGGGGUAAAGGCCCACCAAGGCGACGAUCCGUAGCUGGUCUGAGAGGAUGAUCAGCCACACUGGAACUGAGACACGGUCCAGACUCCUAUGGGAGGCAGCAGUGGGGAAUAUUGGACAAUGGGCGCAAGCCUGAUCCAGCCAUACCGCGUGGGUGAAGAAGGCCUUCGGGUUGUAAAGCCCUUUUGUUGGGAAAGAAAAGCAGCAGGUUAAUACCCCGCUGUUCUGACGGUACCCAAAGAAUAAGCACCGGCUAACUUCGUG